rnacentral:rRNA from 1 species
AGCGGCGGACGGGUGAGUAACACGUGGGUAACCUGCCUCAAAGUGGGGGAUAGCCUUCCGAAAGGAAGAUUAAUACCGCAUAAAGCCAAGUUUCACAUGGAAUUUGGAUGAAAGGAGUAAUUCGCUUUGAGAUGGACCCGCGGCGCAUUAGUUAGUUGGUGGGGUAAUGGCCUACCAAGACAGCGAUGCGUAGCCGACCUGAGAGGGUGAUCGGCCACAUUGGAACUGAGAUACGGUCCAGACUCCUACGGGAGGCAGCAGUGGGGAAUAUUGCACAAUGGGCGAAAGCCUGAUGCAGCAACGCCGCGUGAGUGAUGAAGGUCUUCGGAUUGUAAAGCUCUGUCUUUUGGGACGAUAAUGACGGUACCAAAGGAGGAAGCCACGGCUAACUACGUGCCAGCAGCCGCGGUAAUACGUAGGUGGCGAGCGUUGUCCGGAUUUACUGGGCGUAAAGGGUGCGUAGGCGGAUGUUUAAGUGAGAUGUGAAAUACCCGGGCUUAACUUGGGUGCUGCAUUUCAAACUGGAUAUCUAGAGUGCAGGAGAGGAGAAUGGAAUUCCUAGUGUAGCGGUGAAAUGCGUAGAGAUUAGGAAGAACACCAGUGGCGAAGGCGAUUCUCUGGACUGUAACUGACGCUGAGGCACGAAAGCGUGGGUAGCAAACAGGAUUAGAUACCCUGGUAGUCCACGCCGUAAACGAUGAGUACUAGGUGUAGGAGGUAUCGACCCCUUCUGUGCCGCAGUAAACACAUUAAGUACUCCGCCUGGGAAGUACGAUCGCAAGAUUAAAACUCAAAGGAAUUGACGGGGGCCCGCACAAGCAGCGGAGCAUGUGGUUUAAUUCGAAGCAACGCGAAGAACCUUACCUGGACUUGACAU